GAUGAACGCUGGCGGCGUGCCUAAUACAUGCAAGUCGAGCGAACGGACGAGAAGCUUGCUUCUCUGAUGUUAGCGGCGGACGGGUGAGUAACACGUGGAUAACCUACCUAUAAGACUGGGAUAACUUCGGGAAACCGGAGCUAAUACCGGAUAAUAUUUUGAACCGCAUGGUUCAAAAGUGAAAGACGGUCUUGCUGUCACUUAUAGAUGGAUCCGCGCUGCAUUAGCUAGUUGGUAAGGUAACGGCUUACCAAGGCAACGAUGCAUAGCCGACCUGAGAGGGUGAUCGGCCACACUGGAGCUGAGACACGGUCCAGACUCCUACGGGAGGCAGCAGUAGGGAAUCUUCCGCAAUGGGCGAAAGCCUGACGGAGCGACGCCGCGUGAGUGAUGAAGGUCUUCGGAUCGUAAAACUCUGUUAUUAGGGAAGAACAUAUGUGUAAGUAACUGUGCACAUCUUGACGGUACCUAAUCAGAAAGCCACGGCUAACUACGUG
rnacentral:rRNA from 1 species